GCGUCGGAAGCUGACCUGGUGGUAGCGCUGGUCCGAAAAACCAGAGGUGUUGGUUCGAUUCCAACCCGGCGCA
rnacentral:tRNA from 1 species